rnacentral:rRNA from 1 species
CCCAGAAGUAGGGGAUAACACCUGGAAACAGAUGCUAAUACCGUAUAACAGAGAAAACCGCAUGGUUUUCUUUUAAAAGAUGGCUCUGCUAUCACUUCUGGAUGGACCCGCGGCGUAUUAGCUAGUUGGUGAGGUAAAGGCUCACCAAGGCAGUGAUACGUAGCCGACCUGAGAGGGUAAUCGGCCACAUUGGGACUGAGACACGGCCCAGACUCCUACGGGAGGCAGCAGUAGGGAAUCUUCCACAAUGGACGCAAGUCUGAUGGAGCAACGCCGCGUGAGUGAAGAAGGGUUUCGGCUCGUAAAGCUCUGUUGUUAAAGAAGAAC